GGAGGACCGAACGGGUGUCUGUUGAAAAAGACUCCGAUGACCUGUGGUUAGGGGUGAAAGGCCAAUCAAACUGGGAAAUAGCUGGUUCUCCGCGAAAGAUAUUUAGGUAUCGCCUCGGACGAAUACUGUGGGGGGUAGAGCACUGGAUGGGCUAGGGGGACUUACCGUCUUACCAACCCCAACCAAACUCCGAAUACCCACAAGUAAUAUCCGGGAGUCACACAGCGGGUGCUAACGUCCGUUGUGGAGAGGGAAACAACCCUGACCUACAGCUAAGGCCCCUAAUUCGUGGCUAAGUGGGAAAGGAUGUGGAAAUCCCAAAACAACCAGGAGGUUGGCUUAGAAGCAGCCAUCCUUUAAAGAAAGCGUAACAGCUCACUGGUCUAAAUAAGGGUUUCUGCGCCGAAGAUGUAACGGGGCUCAAGCCACGAGCCGAAGCUUAGGGUGUGCGCGCAAGCGUACGCGGUAGCGGAGCGUUCUGUAAGCCUGCGAAGGGCGACUCGUGAGAGCGCCUGGAGGUAUCAGAAGUGCGAAUGCUGGCAUGAGUAACGACAAACACUGUGAAAGACAGUGUCGCCGAAAGUCCAAGGGUUCCUGCGUAAAGUUAAUCUGCGCAGGGUUAGCCGGUCCCUAAGGCGAGGCCGAAAGGCGUAGUCGAUGGGAAUGCAGUUAAUAUUCUGCAGCCAGUGGGUGGUGACGGAUCUCUUAUGUUGUCAGAUCUUAUUGGAUUGAUCUGGCCUCGACGAGGUUCCAGGAAAUAGCCCCCACAUUAGACCGUACCCGAAACCGACACAGGUGGACUGGUAGAGUAUACCAAGGCGCUUGAGAGAACUAUGUUGAAGGAACUCGGCAAUUUGCCUCCGUAACUUCGGGAUAAGGAGGCCCAGUAUCCACGCAAGUGGGUAUUGGGGGCACAGACCAGGGGGUGGCAACUGUUUAGCAAAAACACAGGGCUCUGCGAAAUCGCAAGAUGACGUAUAGGGUCUGACGCCUGCCCGGUGCCGGAAGGUUAAAAGGAGGUGUGCAAGCACUGAAUUGAAGCCCCGGUAAACGGCGGCCGUAACUAUAACGGUCCUAAGGUAGCGAAAUUCCUUGUCGGGUAAGUUCCGACCUGCACGAAUGGCGUAAUGACU
rnacentral:rRNA from 1 species